rnacentral:ncRNA from 1 species
CUUAAUUUGCUUCAACUGGAAAACUUCCCCUGGCUAGCACAUGGACAGUAUUGACAGAUUGAUAGCUCUUUCUUGAUUCUGUAAGUGGUGAUGCAUGGCCAUUCUUAGUUGGUGGAGAGAUUUGUCUGUUUAAUUCCAAUAAUGAAUGAGACUCUGGCAUGUUAACUAGUUAUGUGACACACUGUGCUUGGGUGCCAGACACACCGUGUGUCACCAGUGCUGGUGGGCUGAUAUGGGUCCAUGAAUGGAAUAGACUGGGCCUCUUUUCCCAUGGAAUGCCAACAGAUACAUGACAAGCCUGAGGUAAACCUCCAGGGUAG